AUUGAACGCUGGCGGCAGGCCUAACACAUGCAAGUCGAGCGGAUGAAGGGAGCUUGCUCCUGGAUUCAGCGGCGGACGGGUGAGUAAUGCCUAGGAAUCUGCCUGGUAGUGGGGGAUAACGUCCGGAAACGGGCGCUAAUACCGCAUACGUCCUGAGGGAGAAAGUGGGGGAUCUUCGGACCUCACGCUAUCAGAUGAGCCUAGGUCGGAUUAGCUAGUUGGUGGGGUAAAGGCCUACCAAGGCGUCGAUCCGUAACUGGUCUGAGAGGAUGAUCAGUUACACUGGAACUGAGACACGGUCCAGACUCCUACGGGAGGCAGCAGUGGGGAAUAUUGGACAAUGGGCGAAAGCCUGAUCCAGCCAUGCCGCGUGUGUGAAGAAGGUCUUCGGAUUGUAAAGCACUUUAAGUUGGGAGGAAGGGCAGUAAGUUAAUACCUUGCUGUUUUGACGUUACCAACAGAAUAAGCACCGGCUAACUUCGUG
rnacentral:rRNA from 1 species